GACGAACGCUGGCGGCGUGCUUAACACAUGCAAGUCGAACGGAAAGGCCCUGCUUUUGUGGGGUGCUCGAGUGGCGAACGGGUGAGUAACACGUGAGUAACCUGCCCUUGACUUUGGGAUAACUUCAGGAAACUGGGGCUAAUACCGGAUAGGAGCUCCUGCUGCAUGGUGGGGGUUGGAAAGUUUCGGCGGUUGGGGAUGGACUCGCGGCUUAUCAGCUUGUUGGUGGGGUAGUGGCUUACCAAGGCUUUGACGGGUAGCCGGCCUGAGAGGGAGACCGGCCACAGUGGGACUGAGAGGCGGCCCGGAGUGCUACGGGAGGCAUCGGUGGGGAAUAUUGCACAAUGGGCGGAAGCCGGAUGCAGGGACGCCGCGUGCGGAAUGACGGCCGUCGGGUUGUAAACCGCUUGCGCCUGUGACGAAGCGUGAGUGACGGUAAUGGAUAAAGAAGCACCGGCUAACUACGUG
rnacentral:rRNA from 1 species